CAAGAGAAUCCGAUUUUAGAGGACAAUGACAACAAUCCUCUUCAUUCGGUACAUAUUAUAAGCAUCCAUCCUUAUAAAGGAAGAGAAAGCCUGAUGGUUUUCAGAACAUCUGUUGAGAGAUGGAUGGUAAUGCUCUCCAGGCACACUUCAAGGAAGACACAGACGGUAGGAAGACACAGAUGAUCCUCCACAAACUGAUAAUGCCCCCAACAGAAACAAUGCUGUCAUGGAGACUGAAUCACCUCCUCAAGCAAUGAGGACUUCUUUCAAUGACAUCUUGCAAAACCAGAACUGACAUAAUGAUCAGCCAGAUCUAGC